rnacentral:rRNA from 1 species
UGGGGAAUAUUGGGCAAUGGGCGCAAGCCUGACCCAGCAACGCCGCGUGAGGGGAGAAGGCUUUCGGGUUGUAAACCUCUGUCCUUGGUGAAGAGUAAGAGACGGUAGCCAAGGAGGAAGCCCCGGCUAACUACGUGCCAGCAGCCGCGGUAAUACGUAGGGGGCGAGCGUUGUCCGGAAUGAUUGGGCGUAAAGGGCGCGUAGGCGGCCUGUUAAGUCUGGAGUGAAAUUCCUGCUUUCAAGGUAGGAAGUGCUUUGGAAACAGGCGGGCUGGAGUGCAGGAGAGGUUAGCGGAAUUCCCGGUGUAGCGGUGAAAUGCGUAGAGAUCGGGAGGAACACCAGUGGCGAAGGCGGCUAACUGGACUGUAACUGACGCUGAGGCGCGAAAGUGUGGGGAGCAAACA